rnacentral:rRNA from 1 species
UGAGUUUGAUCCUGGCUCAGGACGAACGCUGGCGGCGGGCUUCAUACAUGCAAGUCGAACGAGAACGUAUUCUUCGGAAUGCAAGUACAGUGGCGCACGGGUGAGUAACGCGUAGGCAACCUGCCCUUGAGUGGGGAAUAACCAUCGGAAACGGUGGCUAAUACCGCAUAUGGUCGCAUAUCUUAUGGUAGGCGAUAAAAGUCUUCGGACGCUCAGGGAUGGGCCUGCGUCGGAUUAGCUUGUAGGUAGGGUAACGGCCUACCUAGGCUACGAUCCGUAGCUGGUCUGAGAGGACGAUCAGCCACACUGGCACUGAGACACGGGCCAGACUUCUACGGAAGGCAGCAGUAGGGAAUAUUGGGCAAUGGGCGAAAGCCUGACCCAGCCACGCCGCGUGGAGGAAGACACCCCUAUGGGGCGUAAACUCCUUUUAUACGGGAAGAACACCUCCCUCAGGGAGGCUUGACGGUACCGUAUGAAUAAGCACCGGCUAACUCCGUGCCAGCAGCCGCGGUAAUACGAAGGGUGCAAGCGUUGUCCGGAUUCACUGGGUGUAAAGGGUGUGUAGGCGGGGCGGUAUGUCAGAGGUGAAAGCCCACGGCUCAACCGUGGAAUUGCCUUUGAAACUGCCGUUCUUGAGUCUCGGAGAGGUCGCUGGAAUUCGUGGUGUAGCGGUGAAAUGCGUAGAUAUCACGAGGAACACCAGAGGCGUAGGCGGGCGACUGGACGAGUACUGACGCUGAGGCACGAAAGCGUGGGGAGCGAACAGGAUUAGAUACCCUGGUAGUCCACGCCGUAACGAUGGAUGCUCGGUGUUGGCCCUCAUGUGGGGUCAGCGCCCAAGCUAACGCGUUAAGCAUCCCACCUGGGGAGU